UACGUAGGGUGCAAGCGUUAAUCGGAAUUACUGGGCGUAAAGCGUGCGCAGGCGGUUAUUUAAGACAGUUGUGAAAUCCCCGGGCUCAACCUGGGAACUGCAUCUGUGACUGCAUAGCUAGAGUACGGUAGAGGGGGAUGGAAUUCCGCGUGUAGCAGUGAAAUGCGUAGAUAUGCGGAGGAACACCGAUGGCGAAGGCAAUCCCCUAGACCUGUACUGACGCUCAUGCACGAAAGCGUGGGGAGCAAACAGG
rnacentral:rRNA from 1 species